GUGAGGGGGCUGCUAAUGCCCAGGGUGGUGUGUUUAAUAACCCAGGGCAUAACCCAGGGCAGCCUCAUGGACUGAGGAAGGGAAAUGACUGAAGGGAAGCAUCCACGCAUGCAGUUUUCUCCACAGCAUUAUAGUGCUUCCAAAGGGCACGAGGUCACCCAGAACCAGGAUGUUCUCCUCCACCGAACACAAGGGAUGGUAGUAAUGCUGAUCCCAGGGGAAUCCUGUCAGUUCAAGGAUCCAGAGUGGGUCGCUUAUACGGCUCUCCAUAGAGGGUGGUUGUUCCUGUACUGGGUCAAGAACAAUGCAGCUGCUGGUGCCCCUUGAUGAUCACACAUGGGACUAUGGGUUCUUUCUCCCCACUAGGGCUCCUAGGCAAGAAGACACUUGGAGAUGUCUGGGAACCCUGCUGGGUUAGGGGGGA